rnacentral:rRNA from 1 species
ACAGCAGCAGCCGCGGGAAUACGAAGGGGGCUAGCGUUGUUCGGAUUUACUGGGCGUAAAGCGCACGUAGGCGGACUUUUAAGUCAGGGGUGAAAUCCCGGGGCUCAACCCCGGAACUGCCUUUGAUACUGGAAGUCUUGAGUAUGGUAGAGGUGAGUGGAAUUCCGAGUGUAGAGGUGAAAUUCGUAGAUAUUCGGAGGAACACCAGUGGCGAAGGCGGCUCACUGGACCAUUACUGACGCUGAGGUGCGAAAGCGUGGGGAGCAAACAGGAUUAGAUACCCCAGUAGUCCCUGUCUCUUAUAC